AAACAUAAACUGAAUAAUACAGUGAAAGAUGGUAUAGAUAAU
rnacentral:guide_RNA from 1 species